GAUACAGGAACUCCGCCACUUCAUACAUCCAUGAAAAUCGACUUCAGGAAUUCAUUAUAUCAUGCUCUGCGUUGCGGAUGAGCUGCAUCACUCUCCAAUCUUCUUAGGAAGACGGUGUGACAAAACUCCGCUCUACUUGAAGAGGUAAAGGGGAUAAUGAUGGAAAACCCUCGACUCUGCUUGUGGAAAACAUAGAUCCAACUUCUAGCCGCAUGGCUCGAAGGAUUUUACAGAUUAAUUUCCACAACUGUUGAGGAUAUAUCCAAACUGG
rnacentral:lncRNA from 1 species